rnacentral:rRNA from 1 species
CAAAUGAAGAGUUUGAUCCUGGCUCAGGAUGAACGCUGGCGGCGUGCCUAAUACAUGCAAGUCGAACGCUGGAGAUCUAGCUUGCUAGAUCGAAGGAGUGGCGAACGGGUGAGUAAUACAUAAGCAACCUACCCACGAAGACUGGGAUAAUCUCUGGAAACGGGGACUAAUACCGGAUAGGUAAUCGGAAGGCAUCUUCUGGUUAUUAAAGGUUAAAAACACUGGUGGAUGGGCUUAUGGCGCAUUAGUUAGUUGGUGAGGUAACGGCCCACCAAGACGAUGAUGCGUAGCCGGCCUGAGAGGGUGAACGGCCACAUUGGGACUGAGACACGGCCCAGACUCCUACGGGAGGCAGCAGUAGGGAAUUUUCGGCAAUGGGGGAAACCCUGACCGAGCAACGCCGCGUGAGUGAUGACGGCCUUCGGGUUGUAAAGCUCUGUUGUAAGGGAAGAACGGUAGAUAGAGAAUAUCUAAGUGACGGUACCUUACCAGAAAGCCACGGCUAACUACGUGCC